CAGGAACUCAAGACACAGAAAGGCCAAGUAAUUUGUCCAACUUCAUAUGCUAGACUGGAAGAAGGAGCCCAGCCUCAAGUCAGGAAAAGGAGGAAAGAGAACACCUGACAUUUGCCACUGAGGUGGAAUAAAGGAAUCGUCUUCGUCUUUACAGUUUUAGAAAUGAAGAAAUGAAUCUUAGAGAGCUUAAAGUGAGUCGUCCAAAGAAGCACAACUAGUAAUUGGAAGAUCGGUUAUGUCAACUAAGGCCUAUCUGACCUCAGAGUCCACUGCCUCAGACACACAAUGUCAUAAUGAA